rnacentral:rRNA from 1 species
ACAGUCUAAGAGAUUAGAGGUUCCCUUCGGGGACAGAAUGACAGGUGGUGCAUGGUUGUCGUCAGCUCGUGUCGUGAGAUGUUGGGUUAAGUCCCGCAACGAGCGCAACCCUUAUUACUAGUUGCCAGCAUUAAGUUGGGCACUCUAGUGAGACUGCCGGUGACAAACCGGAGGAAGGUGGGGACGACGUCAAAUCAUCAUGCCCCUUAUGACCUGGGCUACACACGUGCUACAAUGGAUGGUACAACGAGUCGCGAAACCGCGAGGUUAAGCUAAUCUCUUAAAACCAUGCUCAGUUCGGACUGUAGGCUGCAACUCGCCUACACGAAGUCGGAAUCGCUAGUAAUCGCGGAUCAGCAUGCCGCGGUGAAUACGUUCCCGGGCCUUGUACACACCGCCCGUCUCACCAUGAGAGUUUGUAACACCCAAAGCCGGUGGGGUAACCUUUAGGAGCUAGCC